AUUGAACGCUGGCGGCAUGCUUUACACAUGCAAGUCGAGCGGCAGCGCGGGGCUCAGGCAACUGAGUCCUGGCGGCGAGCGGCGAACGGGUGAGUAAUGCAUCGGAACGUGUCCCGUAAU
rnacentral:rRNA from 1 species